rnacentral:rRNA from 1 species
UAGGGAAUAUUGGACAAUGGGUGCGAGCCUGAUCCAGCCAUGCCGCGUGCAGGAAGAAGGCCUUCUGGGUUGUAAACUGCUUUUAUCUGGGAAUAAAAAACCCGUGCGCGGGGAACUGAAGGUACCAGAUGAAUAAGCCACGGCUAACUACGUGCCAGCAGCCGCGGUAAGACGAACCGUGCAAACGUUAUUCGGAAUCACUGGGCUUAAAGGGCGCGUAGGCGGGUGAUCAAGUCAAUGGGGAAAUCC